GACGAACGCUGGCGGCGUGCUUAACACAUGCAAGUCGAACGGCAAGACACUGCUUUCGUGGGGUGACCGAGUGGCGAUCGCGGGCGUAACAGGAGAGUAACCUGCUCUACAUUUUGGGGUAGCUUCACGAAACGGGAGUUAAUCUAGUAUAGCAUAUCCCCUUGCAUGGAGGGGAUGGGAUAUUUGCGGCGGUUGGGGAUGGACUGGCGGGUGAUCGGCUUGUUGGUGGGGUAGUGGCUUGCCAAGCCUUUGAAGGGUAGCCGGCCUGGGAGGGUGACCGGCCACAUUGGUACUGAGAUACGGCCCAGACUCCUACGGGAGGCAGCAGUGGGGAAUAUUGCACAAUGGUCGGGAGCCUGAUGCAGCAGCGCCGCGUGCGGGAUGACGGCCUUCGGGGUGUAAACCGCUUUCGCCUGUGACGAAGCGUGAGUGACGGUAAUGGGUAAAGAAGCACCGGCUAACUACGUG
rnacentral:rRNA from 1 species